CUUCACUAUUCCAUAGAGGCCGUGGCUGCCACAUCAUCAGUUUCAAGGUGCUCACAGUUCCUUGGUGACGGAAUUAAACUGUGCCUUCCUACCGGGAUGGACAAUAAUGUCAACAGGGAACUUAAAUCCUCCCAGAUUACCACUUUGAAUCAUCUCUAAUCCUCACUUAUGUUCAAAAUGGAAUUAUGUUUAAUCAUAUACAUAUGCAGAUGGAUGGGCACACAUGCCAACACACCUGUAUGUCAUGACAUCAUCCAACCUUUGUCAGAGAAACUUCUUGGAAUAGAUGUUAAUUAACAGAGAUACAAUGUGAAGACAGCGAAAGACAUUGGAACACUCAGCCCUAUCUCUCCUCAAGGCCUAGGGAUUUAUAUGGAAGAGGAAAGAGGAGGAAGAAAGAGUGUAAGAACUAGAUGUGGUGGAUGACUCCAAGGAAACAGUAUCUUCCAGACACAGUGGGGCUGAUAUACACAUGAACUCACAGAGACCAGCACAAAUUCAAGCCAGACAAGCCCAGACCUUGAAGGCUUCAGCUUCCAGCCUCCAUCUGCUGAGCUAAACCUAGAAUAUUUCAGCCUCCAAGACUUACUGUUGAAUAAAUUCAUUAUUUCUAUCUCUUUCUGAACUCUGGAUGGCUGGUUCAACUCAACUGUUCUGGCUCAAAUGCCUCUCCAAGCUGACUGAUUCAAAUUGACUUCUCAUGGUUCUGACUGGAUUGCUCUGCUUGGAAAGACUGUUUUUGAACUCUAUGCACUAAACUGCUUCAAACUACACUGAACUGAGCUCAACUCACUUCAAUUGAAUUCUCUUUCCCUCACUGUUCUUUAAGUAGUCUCUAUUUUCUGUCUGUUCUCUUGAGAGUUGGACAUAUACUCUCUGAUUCACUCUGUCAAAUCUUUCUCUGCCCUCAAUUACACAGAAUUGUUUGGGAUUAAAGAUGUGUACUAAAGG
ensembl:antisense uncharacterized LOC110304347